GAUGAACGCUAGCGGCAGGCUUAAUACAUGCAAGUUGAGGGGCAGCAUGAUAUACGCGAGUAUAUUGAUGGCGACCGGCGGACGGGUGAGUGAUAGGUAGGAGACCUACCUCAUACAGGGGGAUAGCAUAGAGAAAUCUGUGGUAAUACCCCAUGAGGUUAUAUGAAUAGAGGCAUAUAAUCAAAGCAUAAGUGAUUAUGCGGUAUGAGAGGGGCCUACUGACCAUUAGCUAGUUGGUGAGGUAAGGGCUCACCAAGGCGAAGAUGGUUAGGGGUUUUGAGAGAGAGACCCCCCACAUUGGAACUGAGGGACGGUCCAGACUCCUACGGGAGGCAGCAGUAGGGAAUAUUGGGCAAUGGGCGAAAGCCUGACCCAGCCAUGCCGCGUGAAGGAAGACGGCCUUAUGGGUUGUAAACUUCUUUACUACGCGAAUAGAGGUUAGUACGAGAUACUAAUAGGAAGGUAGUGUAGUAAAAAGCACCGGCUAACUCCGUG
rnacentral:rRNA from 1 species